rnacentral:tRNA from 1 species
GCCUGGGUGGCUCAGUCUGUUAAGCGUCUGACUUCGGCUCAGGUCAUGAUCUUGCAGUCCGUGGGUUCAAGCCCUGCAUCAGGCU